CCGUUUUUGUUACUACAGAUCUGCAGUAUAAUUUAAGGUUUGCUAUUGUGAUGUCUCCUACUUCACUCUUCUUGCUAAGGAUUGCUUUGUGUCAAUAAGGAUUUCUCUGUGUCUAUUUUUCCAAAUGAAUUUCAUGAUUGCUUUUUCUAUUUCUAUGAGGAAUGUUAUUGGGAUUUUAAUUGGAAUCGCAUUAAAUCUGUAUAAAGGCUUUUGGUAGUGUGGCCAUUUUGACAAUAUUUAUUCCAUGAGGGAGGAAUUGGAAAUCAGGUACCUGCUCAAAAGGCGACGGAUCCGAUAGCCACGCCCACCCAAAAUGGUGAGGAAUGCUUUCCAAGAUGUAGUCGGUGUGCUUCCAGAGCCGGGGUGUCUGGUGAUGUCAGGGGAACCAAUGGCCUUGUGCUGUGGGGAGGUAGCCUGAGUGACCUGCGUGGGAGGGGAGCGGAGUCUCAGCCGUCUGCAGAUGUGUUGGUAGGUGGUUCUGCUAAGGCUCUGGCCGCAUCUUAAGUGAUCUGGAACUUUGGCUUUGGGUCCUGCUCGGACACUGAGGCUCGGAGCCCUGCGCGGGGUCACAGCGCUGGUCAUUUCUGUAGAGAGAAGCUGUACAGGGGCCUCUAACACUCUCAGAGAUGCAGAAUUCCUACUAGGAGAGAUCUGGAUCACAGAGCAACACAGAUGCUGCUUCCCUCUGGUCCACCAUCUUGAAGCUCUUUUCAAUUUCUUUAGUUUUCAUUGUAUAUAGAUCUUUCAUCUCUUUUGUUAAAUUGAUUCCCAAAUAUUUCAUUUUCGAGGCUAUUGUGAAUGGGAUAGUUUUCCUAAUUUCUCUCUCAGAGGGUUCAUCACUAAUAUAUAGAAAUGCAUUUGAUUUAUGGAUAUUGAUUUCAUAUCCUGUGACAUUGCUGAAUUUGUUAAUAUUAGAAGUUUUCUGGUGGAGUUUUUUUUUUGCAUCCUCUAAGUGUAGAAUCACGUCAUCAGCAAAUAGGGAUAGUUUGAGUUCUUCUUCCCCUAUUCCUAUCCCUUUAAUUUCUUUCAUCUACAGCUCUGUCGUGCAGUCUAAGCUGUAGUGGAGUUUAGACAGCAGUAUAGUUUAAACUCUGGCUAGAGUAUCAGGGACUAUGUAGAGUAGAAGGUGAGAGAGGGCAUCCUUGUCCUGUUCCAGUUCUGAGAGGAAACGCUUCCAAUCAGAAAUGCACUUUGAGGAUGAAGAGGUCCUAGUUCCUCUGCUCUCUCCCCCCACAGCCCAGGUGGGAUGUCUCUUGGGAAGGUGGGGGUCCUCUCCCAAGGCUGCCCCACCUGACAGAUGGCCUAGUUCCCCUGCAGAGGCCACAUCGGGGAUGGGGCGAGCAGCCACCCAGCGGGCUCAUGGCCAGUGCCAGGCGAGGCAGGUGUGGACAGCCUAAGGUCCUCAGCAGCUGCCUGGGUAUUGCCACCUCCCACCUGCUGCUUCCUGAACAGGCUGCUCAGCCUGGACCAAGACCCAGGGCCUGGAGCAGCCACUGCAGAGGCCAUUCCAGCCUCUCAUCGCCCUUCCACUCUGAGGCUCACUGCCCUGCGCCCUCGCUGCCGCCCCAGCCUGGAGCUCUUCACUGUAGCCACCGGACUCCCCACAUGGUCGCCAGAUGCCACUGCAGCAGGAUUCCUGUUACCCCAGCAAGAUGAAGAUGCUCACCACAGGACGCCUCUGUGUCCUCAGCCCCGCUUCCGGACUCUACUGGUGCCGCCGCCACAGUCCAGCAACCAAACUCUCAAACCCCAGCUGGACUGUGAUGCUGCCCAACAAGGGCCCAACGUCAAUGCCCUUCACCCCCCGCCAUGAUGUCUGACUCCAGUGCCCCAUGCCGGCUCCCGGAUGAAGCUGCAUGUUGCUGCUGCCACCACCAGACUCCAUCAUGGAUGCAAGACAGCGAUACUCGGCACUGGAUGCCCACUUCACCCACUGCAGCCAGACUCCUGUGGCACUGCAGGACAGAAAUGAUCAUGGCAACAUCCCUCUGUUGUCACCACGGUUACUUCUGGACUCUUCUGCUGCCACCGCCACUGUGAGUAUGCAGCAAGGGAUCUCCCAAACUGCAGCUGGAUGCCAACACCUUGGCAUAUGCCACCCCCAUGGCAACUGUCAACUCCGGACCUCCCUCGCCUGAUGCCCUACACCUGAAGCAGCUACAUGUUGCUGCUGCUUCCACCAGAUGCUACCCACUCCAUGAUGCCUCUUCAGCGACUCCAUCCCAAAGAUGCUGCUGUGCUGCCCAAGACCACAGAAGCUGGGAAGUUGGGCAGUCUCCAUCCCAGUCGCCUCAUCAGUGCCCACCGCUUGCCGCCUGCCUUUCCUCCCCCAGGACCACCCACCAGUCCUUCUGGGCCCUUGAGCAGGAGUUGUGCUAACUCAGGGAACUCAUCCAAGGAAAACAACUGACCAUCAGGAAGAAGGAAACACCAGAGAAGCUUGAGGAUCAGAAGGACACCAGCCCUGCUCUGGUCACUCUGGAAGCUGGCUAACCUCCACACACCAAAGUUGAGGAAACAGCAGCCCUGCUUCAGCCACUUGAGGGCUGGCUGAUCAAUGCAAGGAGGAAAAUAAACUAAGCAACAGGA